rfam:Glycine soja cultivar W05 scaffold2700_18, whole genome shotgun sequence.
CCAUAAUUGAAUGAUAACGGUCACAUGUUUGAUUGGAUAUCAACUCCAUAAAAGAUGAAAUACAUUGUUGUUUUCAUUGAUCAAUCAGAACAUGGCACGUGACGGUCAACAUUC